rnacentral:ncRNA from 1 species
AUAAAGUUAAAUUUUGGCUUAAUAAUUUAUUUAUAAGUUAUUUUAUAUGUAAAUUUUUGUGUGAGUUUAUAUUAAUUUUAAAAAUUAUUAUAUAAAUAUUAUUUGCAGUAAUUAGUAUUAAUUAUUAAAGAAAUUUAGAAUUAGUAAAUUUAUUUAUUAUAGGCAAAUUUUGUGCCAGCAGCUGCGGUUACACAAAAUAUAAAAAUAAAUUUUAUUAGUAAUAGUUAAAAGUUUUUUUAUAAAAUAAGUUUUAAUUUAUUAGGUGAAAUUUUAAAUUAAAUAAUAUUUUAAUUUAUAAUAUUUAAAGCUAUGAAAUUUAAAUAAAAACUAGGAUUAGAUACCCUAUUAUUUUAAAUGUAAAAAUUUUAUACUUUGGUAGUAUUAGUUAUAUUCUUGAAACUAAAAAAAUUUGGCGGUAUUUUAGUCUUUUCAGAGGAACCUGUUUUAUAAUUGAUAGUCCACAUUAUAUCUUACUUAAUUUUGUUUUUCAAUUUGUAUAUCGUCGUCAUCAGAAUAUCUUAAUUAAGUAAUAAUUUUCUAACAUUUUUAUUAAAAAUGAUGUCAGAUCAAGGUGCAGUUUAUGAUUAAGUAAAAAUGGGUUACAAUAAAAUUAUUUAUACGGAGUAAUUUAUGAAAUUAAAUUAUUAAGGUGGAUUUGAAAGUAAAUUAUAUUAUUAUAUUUAGUUGAUUAUAGCUCUAAAAUAUGUACAUAUCGCCCGUCGCUCUCGUUUUUAAAAUGAGAUAAGUCGUAACAUAGUAGGGGUACUGGAAAGUGUACCUAGAAUGA